rnacentral:rRNA from 1 species
GGGUGAGUAACACGUAUCCAACCUGCCGAUAACUCCGGGAUAGCCUUUCGAAAGAAAGAUUAAUACCGGAUAGCAUACGAAUAUCGCAUGAUAUUUUUAUUAAAGAAUUUCGGUUAUCGAUGGGGAUGCGUUCCAUUAGUUUGUUGGCGGGGUAACGGCCCACCAAGACUACGAUGGAUAGGGGUUCUGGGAGGAAGGUCCCCCACAUUGGAACUGAGACACGGUCCAAACUCCUACGGGAGGCAGCAGUGAGGAAUAUUGGUCAAUGGGCGAGAGCCUGAACCAGCCAAGUAGCGUGAAGGAUGAAGGCUCUAUGGGUCGUAAACUUCUUUUAUAUGGGAAUAAAGUAUUCCACGUGUGGAAUUUUGUAUGUACCAUAUGAAUAAGGAUCGGCUAACUCCGUGCCAGCAGCCGCGGUAAUACGGAGGAUCCGAGCGUUAUCCGGAUUUAUUGGGUUUAAAGGGAGCGUAGGUGGAUUGUUAAGUCAGUUGUGAAAGUUUGCGGCUCAACCGUAAAAUUGCAGUUGAAACUGGGAGUCUUGAGUACAGUAGAGGUGGGCGGAAUUCGUGGUGUAGCGGUGAAAUGCUUAGAUAUCACGAAGAACUCCGAUUGCGAAGGCAGCUCACUAGACUGUUACUGACACUGAUGCUCGAAAGUGUGGGUAUCAAACAGGAUUAGAUACCCUGGUAGUCCACACAGUAAACGAUGAAUACUCGCUGUUUGCGAUAUACAGUAAGCGGCCAAG